CCUCUUCGACCUUAUGCCUCUCUCCCUAUGGCGAUAAGAGAUUCUAAAUCCGACAAAUUCUCUGUCUCUCAUCAAACAAUAUGUAAGAGAAAAACAACAACAUAAAAACAAAAAAUACUUCAAACAUCUAGCCAUCCUUCUCUUAACUCUCUCUCUUCUCUUUCCUAAAAAACCCUAGCUGCGUUUUUGCCUUACUUCACCACCGUUUAAAUGGCAACAUCAUCAGCUCUCUCUUCACUCUCUUCUCUAUUGGAUCUCGCAUUGCCAAGAAGGUGAAAUCGAGAAGCAGUAAAGUUGAACGUGUUGGGGCCAGAUCUCUGGUUUACUUAGCCGUCGUUCUGGAAUACUUCGCCGUCGAGCUUGUAGUGAGAAACGACGAGGAGCCAAGCAAGUUGUUUGGUGAUAUGAUGAUUGCAAAGUGAGGAUUAAGGUUCACAAACUGAGGUUUUGCCAAGAAACUUGAAGAGUCAAGUCUUUUAUAUCUCCAAGGAGAAUGCUCGUUUGGCUACUCUUCAGGUGCUCAAGCUUUUACCCUUUUCUAAUUCUCAAUUAUAUUACUUGAACUGAUGUCAAUAUUAGGCGAUUUAGCUCUUAAUGUCACUAGCAAUUGGAUUUCUUUAGGAAGUGUGAGAGUCUUGUGAUAUAUAUUGUUGCCGCUAGUGAGGUUUCCAUUUUAAAUCCUUUUUAAUUUGAUUGUAUAAAUUUUUGAUGUUCUCUUGAAUGGAAUAGGUUGGUGGUCGAAAAUACAUAGUGUUUACACUACUAGGCUAAAAGAUGCAAAAAGACUGACCGAUGACAUUAAAAAAGCUAAUGUGUGAAUAUGUUGUGUUAUACCUUUAUUCCAGGUCAUUGUUUGUAAAUAUCUUUGUUCUCAUUGUGGUUCUUUACUCACACAUCUGAUGUUUCAUGUUGGCACAACAUUUCAAGCAUCUAUGUAACACUUCCACUUCAGAUUCUUUUCAUCUUGGCAGAACCUUAGGGUAUUGUGGAUUGCAAGGAUCAGUUCCUGAUUUAAGAAGGAUACAAGCACAAGUUAUCUCUUUCCUCUCUCUUCUCUGUUUUUGUAUUUUUGAUGCUACAUCUAUUAAUCCUACUUGUCUCUGUUAUUUCAGGUUAAGGGUGACAACCGAAGAGCUUGCUGUUACAAGAGGAUAAGGGUGACAACCGAAGAUCAACCUCUCUAUUGCAGAUCGCUAUUGCAAUUAUUGAGUCCGGAUUCUUCACGUUAUUGCAGCCAUGAUGAUAAUUAAUCGUUUUUGUAAUAUUUUUUUAAUAUGCUUUUAUAUAUGUAACUUUAAAUUUUAUGAAAUGAAAUAAUUUUAUGUU